AGCGAACGCUGGCGGCAGGCCUAACACAUGCAAGUCGGACGAACUCUUCGGAGUUAGUGGCGGACGGGUGAGUAACACGUGGGAACGUGCCUUUAGGUUCGGAAUAACUCAGGGAAACUUGUGCUAAUACCGAAUGUGCCCUUCGGGGGAAAGAUUUAUCGCCUUUAGAGCGGCCCGCGUCUGAUUAGCUAGUUGGUGAGGUAAAGGCUCACCAAGGCGACGAUCAGUAGCUGGUCUGAGAGGAUGAUCAGCCACAUUGGGACUGAGACACGGCCCAAACUCCUACGGGAGGCAGCAGUGGGGAAUCUUGCGCAAUGGGCGAAAGCCUGACGCAGCCAUGCCGCGUGAAUGAUGAAGGUCUUAGGAUUGUAAAAUUCUUUCACCGGGGACGAUAAUGACGGUACCCGGAGAAGAAGCCCCGGCUAACUUCGUGCCAGCAGCAGCCGCGG
rnacentral:rRNA from 1 species